rnacentral:rRNA from 1 species
GAUGAACGCUGGCGGCGUGCUUAACACAUGCAAGUCGAACGAUGAAGCCCAGCUUGCUGGGUGGAUUAGUGGCGAACGGGUGAGUAACACGUGAGUAACCUGCCCUUAACUCUGGGAUAAGCCUGGGAAACUGGGUCUAAUACCGGAUAGGAGCGCCUACCGCAUGGUGGGUGUUGGAAAGAUUUAUCGGUUUUGGAUGGACUCGCGGCCUAUCAGCUUGUUGGUGAGGUAAUGGCUCACCAAGGCGACGACGGGUAGCCGGCCUGAGAGGGUGACCGGCCCCACCGGGGAAGGAAGCACGGCCCAGACCCCUCCGGGGGGGAGCGGGGGGGAAUAUUGAAAAAGGGGCGAAGGCCUGAUGCGGGGACGCCGGGGGGGGGAUGACGGCCUUCGGGUUGAAAACCCUUUUCAGUAGGGAAGAAGCGAAAGGGAAGGGACCGGCAGAAGAAGCACCGGCUAAUUACGG